rnacentral:rRNA from 1 species
CAGUCGCCGCGGUAAUACCGAGGGUGCGAGCGUUAAUCGGAUUUACUGGGCGUAAAGCGUGCGUAGGCGGCUUUUUAAGUCGGAUGUGAAAUCCCUGAGCUUAACUUAGGAAUUGCAUUCGAUACUGGGAAGCUAGAGUAUGGGAGAGGAUGGUAGAAUUCCAGGUGUAGCGGUGAAAUGCGUAGAGAUCUGGAGGAAUACCGAUGGCGAAGGCAGCCAUCUGGCCUAAUACUGACGCUGAGGUACGAAAGCAUGGGGAGCAAACAGGAUUAGAUACCCCAGUAGUCCCUGUCUCUUAUAC